rnacentral:rRNA from 1 species
AUUGAACGCUGGCGGCAGGCCUAACACAUGCAAGUCGAGCGAGCGGCGGACGGGUGAGUAAUGUCUGGGAAACUGCCUGUUGGAGGGGGAUAACUACUGGAAACGGUAGCUAAUCCCGCAUAACAUCAGAUGUGCCCAGACGGGAUUAGCUAGUAGGUGGGGUAACGGCUCACCUAGGCGACGAUCCCUAGCUGGUCUGAGAGGGUGACCAGCCACACUGGGACUGAGACACGGUCCAGACUCCUACGGGAGGCAGCAGUGGGGAAUAUUGCACAAUGGGCGCAAGCCUGAUGCAGCCAUGCCGCGUGUGUGAAGAAGGCCUUCGGGUUGUAAAGCACUUUCAGCGGGGAGGCGUUACCCACAGAGGAAGCACCGGCUAACUCCGUGCCAGCAGCCGCGGUAAUAC